UACGGGGGGGGCAAGCGUUGUUCGGAAUUACUGGGCGUAAAGGGCUCGUAGGUGGCCAACUAAGUCAGACGUGAAAUCCCUCAGCUUAACUGGGGAACUGCGUCUGAUACUGGAUGGCUUGAGUUUGGGAGAGGGACGCGGAAUUCCAGGUGUAGCGGUGAAAUGCGUAGAUAUCUGGAGGAACACCGGUGGCGAAGGCGGCAUCCUGGACCAACACUGACACUGAGGAGCGAAAGCCAGGGGAGCAAACAGG
rnacentral:rRNA from 1 species